rnacentral:lncRNA from 1 species
UUUUCGAAAAAACAAUGAUUGUUUUUUUGUGAGUCUAGCUCUAGAAAGCGAGUAAACCUUGUUUUAUGUAUUCUAAUCCCCGCAACAUUUUAAUCCACCACUUUUUUAUGUUGUAUAUUCCAUUUCUUUGUUUCAUUAAGACAAAAUAAUAUAUGGUCUAUCAUAGACAUUGCACAACAAGUAACAAAUAUUGCACAACCGAUGGCCAGUGAGAGUCAGCAUGUAGUAGAGCCAGGAAGAUUGAAAAAACAGAUCCCCU